AUUGAACGCUGGCGGCAGGCCUAACACAUGCAAGUCGAGCGGAUGAAGGGAGCUUGCUCCUGGAUUCAGCGGCGGACGGGUGAGUAAUGCCUAGGAAUCUGCCUGGUAGUGGGGGAUAACGUCCGGAAACGGGCGCUAAUACCGCAUACGUCGUGAGGGAGAAAGUGGGGGAUCUUCGGACCUCACGCUAUCAGAUGAGCCUAGGUCGGAUUAGCUAGUUGGUGGGGUAAAGGCCUACCAAGGCGACGAUCCGUAACUGGUCUGAGAGGAUGAUCAGUCACACUGGAACUGAGACACGGUCCAGACUCCUACGGGAGGCAGCAGUGGGGAAUAUUGGACAAAGGGCGAAAGCCUGAUCCAGCCAUGCCGCGUGUGUGAAGAAGGUCUUCGGAUUGUAAAGCACUUUAAGUUGGGAGGAAGGGCAGUAAGUUAAUACCUUGCUGUUUUGACGUUACCAACAGAAUAAGCACCGGCUAACUUCGUG
rnacentral:rRNA from 1 species